rnacentral:rRNA from 1 species
GACGAACGCUGGCGGCGUGCUUAACACAUGCAAGUCGAACGGAAAGGCCCUGCUUUUGUGGGGUGCUCGAGUGGCGAACGGGUGAGUAACACGUGAGUAACCUGCCCUUGACUUUGGGAUAACUUCAGGAAACUGGGGCUAAUACCGGAUAGGAGCUCCUGCUGCAUGGUGGGGGUUGGAAAGUUUCGGCGGUUGGGGAUGGACUCGCGGCUUAUCAGCUUGUUGGUGGGGUAGUGGCUUACCAAGGCUUUGACGGGUAGCCGGCCUGCGAGGGUGACCGGCCACAUUGGGACUGAGAUACGGCCCAGACUCCUACGGGAGGCAGCAGUGGGGAAUAUUGCACAAUGGGCGGAAGCCUGAUGCGGCAGCGCCGCGUGCGGGAUGACGGCCUUCGGGUUGUAAACCGCUUUCGCCUGUGACGAAGCGUGAGUGACGGUAAUGGGUAAAGAAGCACCGGCUAACUACGUG